GUGGGGAAUAUUGGACAAUGGGCGAAAGCCUGAUCCAGCCAUGCCGCGUGUGUGAAGAAGGUCUUCGGAUUGUAAAGCACUUUAAGUUGGGAGGAAGGGCAGUAAGUUAAUACCUUGCUGUUUUGACGUUACCAACAGAAUAAGCACCGGCUAACUUCGUGCCAGCAGCCGCGGUAAUACGAAGGGUGCAAGCGUUAAUCGGAAUUACUGGGCGUAAAGCGCGCGUAGGUGGUUCAGCAAGUUGAAGGUGAAAUCCCCGGGCUCAACCUGGGAACUGCCUCCAAAACUGCAUGACUAGAGUAAGGUAGAGGGUAGUGGAAUUUCCUGUGUAGCGGUGAAAUGCGUAGAUAUAGGAAGGAACACCAGUGGCGAAGGCGACUACCUGGACUGAUACUGACACUGAGGUGCGAAAGCGUGGGGAGCAAACGGGAUUAGAAACCCUUGUAGUCC
rnacentral:rRNA from 1 species